AUUGAACGCUGGCGGCAGGCCUAACACAUGCAAGUCGAGCGGUAGAGAGGUGCUUGCAUCUCUUGAGAGCGGCGGACGGGUGAGUAAUGCCUAGGAAUCUGCCUAGUGGUGGGGGAUAACGUUCGGAAACGGACGCUAAUACCGCAUACGUCCUACUGGAGAAAGCGGGGGAGCUUCGGACCUCGCGCCAUUAGAUGAGCCUAGGUCGGAUUAGCUAGUUGGUGAGGUAAUGGCUCAACAAGGCGACGAUCCGUAACUGGUCUGAGAGGAUGAUCAGUCACACUGGAACUGAGACACGGUCCAGACUCCUACGGGAGGCAGCAGUGGGGAAUAUUGGACAAUGGGCGAAAGCCUGAUCCAGCCAUGCCGCGUGUGUGAAGAAGGUCUUCGGAUUGUAAAGCACUUUAAGUUGGGAGGAAGGGUCGUAACCUAAUACGUUGCGGCUUUGACGUUACCGACAGAAUAAGCACCGGCUAACUUCGUGCCAGCCGCCGCCGUAAUAC
rnacentral:rRNA from 1 species